rnacentral:rRNA from 1 species
CCGACCGGCGCACGGGUGAGUAACGCGUAUGCAACUUACCUAUCAGAGGGGGGUAACCCGGCGAAAGUCGGACUAAUACCGCAUGAAGCAGGGAUCCCGCAUGGGAAUAUUUGCUAAAGAUUCAUCGCUGAUAGAUAGGCAUGCGUUCCAUUAGGCAGUUGGCGGGGUAACGGCCCACCAAACCGACGAUGGAUAGGGGUUCUGAGAGGAAGGUCCCCCACAUUGGUACUGAGACACGGACCAA